ACGGGUGAGUAAUGCCUAGGAAUCUGCCUGGUAGUGGGGGAUAACGUUCGGAAACGGACGCUAAUACCGCAUACGUCCUACGGGAGAAAGCAGGGGACCUUCGGGCCUUGCGCUAUCAGAUGAGCCUAGGUCGGAUUAGCUAGUUGGUGAGGUAAUGGCUCACCAAGGCGACGAUCCGUAACUGGUCUGAGAGGAUGAUCAGUCACACUGGAACUGAGACACGGUCCAGACUCCUACGGGAGGCAGCAGUGGGGAAUAUUGGACAAUGGGCGAAAGCCUGAUCCAGCCAUGCCGCGUGUGUGAAGAAGGUCUUCGGAUUGUAAAGCACUUUAAGUUGGGAGGAAGGGCAGUUGCCUAAUACGUAACUGUUUUGACGUUACCGACAGAAUAAGCACCGGCUAACUCUGUGCCAGCAGCCGCGGUAAUACAGAGGGUGCAAGCGUUAAUCGGAAUUACUGGGCGUAAAGCGCGCGUAGGUGGUUUGUUAAGUUGGAUGUGAAAUCCCCGGGCUCAACCUGGGAACUGCAUUCAAAACUGACUGACUAGAGUAUGGUAGAGGGUGGUGGGAAUUUCCUGUGUAGCGG
rnacentral:rRNA from 1 species